rnacentral:misc_RNA from 1 species
GGAGAAUAUUGACCUUGAGUUUGAAGAAAGUAGAAGAUCAUCCUCAGCAUCACAUAGCUCAAAACUCAAGGUAGCUAAGCUUGUCGAUGGAUACCUUCAAGUAAUCGCUAGUGACACAAGUUUACCCUUAUCAAAAUUCAUAUCGAUAGCUGAAGCAAUCCCAGAAUUUGCUAGGCUUGACCAUGAUGAUCUUUACAAAGCCAUCGACAUCUAUCUCAAGGGUCAUCCAGGGCUAAACAAGAGCGAAAGAAAG